rnacentral:rRNA from 1 species
CCUACGGGGGGCAGCAGUGAGGAAUAUUGGUCAAUGGGCGGGAGCCUGAACCAGCCAAGUCGCGUGAGGGACGACGGUCCUAUGGAUCGUAAACCUCUGUCAGAAGGGAAGAAGUUGCAUGGGGCCAAUCACCUGUGCAUUGACGGUACCUUCAAAGGAAGCACCGGCUAACUCCGUGCCAGCAGCCGCGGUAAUACGGAGGGUGCGAGCGUUAAUCGGAAUUACUGGGCGUAAAGCGCACGUAGGCUGUAUGUCAAGUCAAGGGUGAAAUCCCACGGCUCAACCGUGGAACUGCCUUUGAAACUGGCAAACUGGAGUAUGUGAGAGGGCGGCGGAAUUCCUGGUGUAGGAGUGAAAUCCGUAGAUAUCAGGAGGAACAUCAGUGGCGAAGGCGGCCGCCUGGCACAAAACUGACGCUGAGGUGCGAAAGCGUGGGUAGCAAACAGGAUUAGAUACCCUAGUAGUC